AAGUUCUCUUUUAUGGAGAGUUUGAUCCUGGCUCAGGACGAACGCUGGCGGCGUGCCUAAUACAUGCAAGUCGAGCGGA
rnacentral:rRNA from 1 species